rnacentral:rRNA from 1 species
GGGCCCGCACAAGCGGUGGAGCAUGUGGUUCAAUUCGACGCAACGCGAAGAACCUUACCUGGGCUCGAAAUGUAGUGGACCGGGGUAGAAAUAUCCCUUUCUCGCAAGAGACUGCUAUAUAGGUGCUGCAUGGCUGUCGUCAGCUCGUGUCGUGAGAUGUUGGGUUAAGUCCCGCAACGAGCGCAACCCUUAUCCCUAGUUGCCAUCGGGUCAAGCCGGGCACUCUAGUGAAACCGCCCCGGAUAACGGGGAGGAAGGUGGGGAUGACGUCAAGUCCUCAUGGCCUUUAUGUCCAGGGCUACACACGUGCUACAAUGGUCGGUACAAACCGUCGCAAACCUGCAAAGGGAAGCCAAUCGGAAAAAGCCGGCCUCAGUUCGGAUUGGAGUCUGCAACUCGACUCCAUGAAGCUGGAAUCGCUAGUAAUCGCAGAUCAGAACGCUGCGGUGAAUACGUUCCCGGGCCUU